ACUAUUUUAUUCAAGGGGAACUCCUUAAUGGGGAAAAGUCUAGCCUAUGCAAUAACACCAGAAAGCAGACCUGGCAGAACACCACACAACACGAUAAUAACCAAAAUCUCCAUUUAAAAAUGCUUUCUUCAAACUUGGAGAUCUUAACAACCCUAAAGAUUUUCAAACUGCACUGAACAAGACAUUUAAACUUGGGACACUGCUGUGCCACUUCAAGCAGGUGGAGUCAUUGCAGCAAGUCGCACACACGGCACCAGAGACCGGAAGGAGAACUGAGGCGGUGACGUACAGACGGAAAAUGGUGCUAAACACAGGAAAACAAGAAGGAACCUCUACAAUCUUCCUCAGUCCAAUAUCAUGGAUAUUUCAACCGGUUCCAUGAUCCAUCCCAUGGAUUACCCAUUCAUUUGGUUGAAGGGUGAUAUGUUCAAUCUAAGCGGACCCAAGAUGGAUCUGGCGCAUCAGAGAGAGACACCAAUGGGUUUCUCAACAUGGGCAGCCUUCCUACACAAAGCCGAAGUCAUUUUACAAGACAACAUCGGCGCAGCCAUUGUAGCAUGGAACAGCAUUAUGGCCUCAACUCGUAUUAGAAGUGGAUGGAUACCCUUCAUCACUUCAAGUUGCCAGUUUUGUAUGUCCCACCAAACGCAGGCGAAGCAUCGAUCGCUCAAUGUGCAGCUUGGCUGACUGGCUGUAGUGAGCUUCAUGUAGCUUCAGCGUACUGUGGUCAAUUUGCAUCGAGACUAUUACUCCCAUCUAAGAAGUGAUUAUAUUCUUACAAUACUGCGGCAAUAUAUCAAUCAUUUGGACGCUAUUGAUUGCUAAUUUCUAUAUGAUACGCUUAGCCUAUUGUCAGUAUGAUAUCAUGAUACAAUUGUAAAGUUAUUUUUGUGAAUCUGGCCUGGAUUUUUCGAGAAAAAAUAUUAAACUUAAACUUUGAA